AUGGCGACAGAGAUUCAAGCGGGCGACCCUGUCCCAGCCGCCGCAUCGUGCCUCACCGAGACGAGGAGGCUGCCGCCGUGCUUGGGUAGAAGCGGAGGCUGCCGCCGCGCUCGGGGAGAAGAGGAGGCCGCCGCCGUGCUCGGGGAGAAGAGGAGGCCGCCGCGCUUGGGGAGAAGAGGAGGCCGCCGCCGUGCUCGGGGAGAAGAGGAGGCCGCCGCCGUGCUCGGGGAGAAGAGGAGGCCGCCGCCGUGCUCGGGGAGAAGAGGAGGCCGCCGCGUUCGGGGAGAAGAGGACGUCACCACCGGUCGGGGAGAAAAAGAAGCCAACCGCGCUCAGGAAGGUGAGUUCGUCGCCGUCCUCCAUGGCGUCCGCCAACAGAGCUUGGAAGGAAGCUGGGGUCACCAAUCACGGGGAGGUCCCAGUCCUCCAUGGCGCGCGCGAGGGAGGUCGUCGGCCGGUGGCCUGCAAGCCGGCAGACGGUGGUGCUAG
rnacentral:rRNA from 1 species